UAGUCACUGAGGACGGAACGGGCAGCCGUCACCCAUUGUUAGGAGAUGUAGGAGUGUCACCCUACCUUGACUA
rnacentral:ncRNA from 12 species